AUGAGUAGGAAGUCAAGCAAAGGAGGCAGGAGACCUGCAUGGAUGAGCAAGGAGCUCCUGGCAAAACUCAACCAGAAGAAGGAAGCAUACAGAAAGUGGAAAGGGGGACAGGCCACUUGGGAAAAAUAUAGGAACAUUGUCAGAGUAUGCAGGGAUGUGACGAGGAAGGCUAAGGCCCGUUUGGAAUUAAAUCUGGCGAGAGAUGUCAAGGACAGCAAGAAGGGCUUCUUCAAAUACAUCAGUAGCAAGAGGAAGACUAGGAUAAAUGUGGGCCCUUUGCUGAAUGGGGUGGGUGCCCUGGUGACAAAGGAUGCAGAGAGGGCAGAGUUACUGAAUGCCUUCUUUGCUUCAGUCUUUACUGCUCAGGCCAGCCCUCAGGAACCCCAGAUCCUGGAGGCAAGAGAGAAAGUCUGGAGGAAGGAAGACCUUCCCUUGGUGGAGGAGGAUCGGGUUAGAGAUCAUUUAAGCAAACUUGACACCCACAAAUCCAUGGGCCCUGAUGGGAUGCACCCACGAGUGCUGAGGGAGCUGGCGGAUGUCAUUGCUAAGCCACUCUCCAUCAUCUUUGAAAGGUCAUGGAGGACAGGAGAGGUGCCUGAAGACUGGAAGAAAGCCAAUGUCACCCCAGUCUUCAAAAAGGGCAAGAAGGAGGACGCAGGGAACUACAGGCCAGUCAGCCUCACCUCCAUCCCUGGAAAGGUGAUGGAGCAGCUCAUCCUGGAGGCCAUCUCCAAGCAUGUGGAGGACAAGAAAGUGAUCAGGAGUAGUCAGCAUGGCUUCACCAAGGGGAAAUCAUGCCUAACCAAUCUGAUAGCCUUCUAUGAUGGAAUGACUGGCUGGGUAGAUGAGGGGAGAGCAGUGGAUGAUGUCUACCUUGACUUCAGCAAGGCUUUUGACACUGUCUCCCAUAACAUCCUCAUAGGGAAGCUCAGGAAGUGUGGGCUAGAUGAGUGGACAGUGAGGUGGAUUGAGAACUGGCUGAAUGGCAGAGCUCAGAGUUGUGAUCAGCGGCGCAGAGUCUAG
rnacentral:lncRNA from 1 species